GGAGAAGGAGAAGGACGAGGUGGAGGAGGAGGAGGAGGAGGAAGACGUGACCCAGCAGCAGGGACAGAUUGAGGUCAGAAUAGCUACUACCAGUGCCACCCUGGGCAUAUUUGGAGUGAAGAUUUGCCUUUCCCUGAUGUGGAGUUCACAUUUGUUCUUUUUUUUCAUUAGCACCAAGGUCCAUGCAGCCUUUUGUCUCUCAGCAUAUGCCUAAUUGUCUUAUUUGUAUUUUUAUAAACUGUUUAAUUGUGGCACUGUGGCCAUCUCCCCCAAGAAGGUCUCUGUGAGUAGUGAAAGAGUGUAUCAAUUUUUUUUUAACAUGGUUACUCUCUUCCAUGUAGGCCACUGCACUUUAUUUUAAUUUUUGAAACUUCACAAUGUGCACAUACAUCCUUUGGUAUGGCAUGUGCUUCCGCAUAUCACAUAAAUAACCAUGGUGGGCCGCCGGGGAUCAAAAAUGCCAGGGCCAUUUUUUGGUCCCAGUCCAGCCCUGGGAGAGGGGGUAGCAACACAACUCCACCUAAUGGAGGCUUACGGCGCCCCAGAUUCAAACGUCCAAAAACACAUAAUUGAAACCACAAAACAUCUCCAUACUGCUUGUCCGUAGUGAUCCAAGUGUCCUGAAGCCCCGACAUAAAAAGUUGUUUGGAAAAACGUCACUUGAACUCUGUUUUUAGCCUCAUUGUAGCCUGUAGCUCUAACUGCCUCUCUGUGCACCGUGCUCACGUGUGCGCGUGAGACCCACAAAAGCACGUGAACACACAUGAACGUGGUGCCCAUGUCUCACGGUCUUGUCUUGCGUGAGCAAGCGCACACAUGUGAGCGCGGUGUACAGAGACCCACCUCAAAUUUUCUGAUAAAAAGUUCUAAGACCUUGAUUAAUCUCAAAAAUGAAGCUCUUGAGUCUUUGCCAAACACUAGCCCCUUUUAUACUGCCAGAUUUUCCGUGAAUGUUGGGCCGUUUUGCCGGCAAGCUGCGAGCAUUUAGACGCACAGAGCCGGAUUGGCGAGUUGAUCCAAGGUGCCCAGUUUUUCGCCUCGUAGGGUAGUCAUAUUGGGGGAACCCUUUUGGUUUAAACAGUCCAAGGCGGCCUUCCACAACGGGAGGGGCUGUUGAAGACUUGUAGAAGGAGCUGUUGAUGAUGCCGCACAUGCGAGCCACUGGCGGUGGAUAAACAGGAAACAGCUGAUAGCAGGAAUUAGCGAGAAGCUAGUAGCAAGAGGGAAACGCAAACCUGACAGACACUGUAAAGAUGUAAAGAAAAAAAAACUAAAAAAAGCAACUGGGGAGACAAGGAAUUGCGCACCGUCCUUACCCUCGCAAACGAAGAGGCCAUUAACCGUCAGAUGACGGGGACAGUGAAGAAAGGACUGACUAGCCGCGGCUUCCCUCCCACGUCACUGUUUGUGUCACAUGCUGAGCUACACAUUUUGUUACUUGCUCACACCCCCCACUGCCCCGAAAAAGCACAUUCUGUAUAAACAAAGUAGGCAGGCGGCAUUUUGCCGCACUCCAUGAUUUUGUUUUUAUACUGCCAAUGCUGAAAAAAGACUGAUUGGGCUUUCCUGCAAAUUUGCACAACUGCUAGAAGGGCUACUCUCACCAUGGCAACACCUUAUUCACCAUAAAGCACAAAGUUGUUUUUAAAGGGGCAUCGAAUGGUUAGAAACUCAAACGUGGCACACACAUCAGAGGUCCCAAAUUCUGUUGUGUGAGAUGGCUCAACAGCGCCCCCUACAAAAUUUUGACAAAACAGCCCCCAAAGCUGGUUUGACUUCAAACCUUGGUCCGUCCCACUGGAAGAUAUUGAGGAAAAGUUAUUACAAGCUUGAGUUUUCAUCAAUCCGUGUGACCGUGGCAAGGUGUCAAACUCAGGUGUACCGCUACGAAACAGGAAGUAGCGCCCCCAACAAAAUUUCAACGAAACAGCCCCCGAAGUUGCUUUGACCUACAUGUACGAAACUCGGUAGGCACGUGUAACACUCCAAGACAUACAAAAAACCUCUUGGGCUCAUUCUCUAAAACCAACAGGAAGUCGGCCACUCUACAAGUGGAGAGAUGUCAGAGUGAGGGGGCUGUCUUGGUCAGGCACACCGAGCGGUUGGGGGGGUUCGG